rnacentral:rRNA from 1 species
AGAUAGAAAGUUAACUUCGGUACAUCGGUGACAGGUGGUGCAUGGUUGUCGUCAGCUCGUGUCGUGAGAUGUUGGGUUAAGUCCCGCAACGAGCGCAACCCCUAUUGUUAGUUGCCAUCAUUCAGUUGGGCACUCUAGCGAGACUGCCGGUAAUAAACCGGAGGAAGGUGGGAUGACGUCAAAUCAUCAUGCCCCUUAUGACCUGGGCUACACACGUGCUACAAUGGUUGGUACAACGAGUUGCGAGUCGGUGACGGCGAGCUAAUCUCUUAAAGCCAAUCUCAGUUCGGAUUGUAGGCUGCAACUCGCCUACAUGAAGUCGGAAUCGCUAGUAAUCGCGGAUCAGCACGCCGCGGUGAAUACGUUCCCGGGCCUU